UCGCUACUUUAAGAGACGAUCUAGCUACAGGAAGAAACAGAAAACACUACACAGAGACAACACAGCAACAACCUGGAUUUGUGGCCGGUAAAAACAGAUUUAAACCGGCAAAGAAUCAGAUGGGGACACAGGUUGGACUCAGAGCACAAAACGAGUACAAGUAGACAUUAUUAUUCGAAAUGCUAUUAACCGGCACACGUCUUUUAAAAACUUUCUACAAACAUCUCAGCUGUCCUUUUUCGUAGCAAUAUAGAUGCACCUUUAGUCUAAAAGCUCAGCAAGUUUGGACAGUUUAAGUUCCCUGCUUCUUGCAAUAGCCAUUAUUAUAAGUGCUCGGUUGCGCGAUCAAUAAUCGUUAAUUAAUUUAAUUUUAACCCUUUAAAACUGGUAUUAGGGUUUCCAAUGAAAAAAUGAUGGUUCUCAGAUUUGACUUUAUUACCACUAGAUCUUUUGCUUGGCCUUGUAUGAAGCCAAAUCUUUAUUUAAAAAUUUUUUCGUUGCUCUGGUAAAGAGAAAUAUCAAUUUUCACAUAUUAUUACUCCAGUAGCCGCCAUUUUGAAGCUCCACCCAACAACGUGUAGCUCUAGCUCUUGCUCGAGUUCUUGCUCCAUAAAGUCGCCUCUGCUGGUCUUAACAUCUAAUCAGAAGUAGCUAGAUCUAUUCAGGAUAUUAUCAGAGUUAAUUAUUACAGGAUACUAGUUUUUAGACAUUUAUUAACAUGGCAGCAAGUAAUUCUUCAGAAAAACUAGAAGUUAGAAUUGAAAAAUUAGAACUGAAGUACGCAGCUGAGAUAAUAAAGCUUAGAAAGGAAUUCAUUGAAAUGAAAGUGAUUCUUGAUGCCCAAAGGGAAUUUGAUAACACACGCAUCAUUUUGAUGGACAUUACUGAGAAACUAAAUACAAAAAAAAUUCUGAUUUUAUUAUUAAUUUGU